rnacentral:rRNA from 1 species
GGGUGGCGAGUGGCGGACGGGUGAGGAAUACAUCGGAAUCUACUUUUUCGUGGGGGAUAACGUAGGGAAACUUACGCUAAUACCGCAUACGACCUACGGGUGAAAGCAGGGGAUCUUCGGACCUUGCGCGAUUGAAUGAGCCGAUGUCGGAUUAGCUAGUUGGCGGGGUAAAGGCCCACCAAGGCGACGAUCCGUAGCUGGUCUGAGAGGAUGAUCAGCCACACUGGAACUGAGACACGGUCCACACUCCUACGGGAGGCAGCAGUGGGGAAUAUUGGACAAUGGGCGCAAGCCUGAUCCAGCCAUACCGCGUGGGUGAAGAAGGCCUUCGGGUUGUAAAGCCCUUUUGUUGGGAAAGAAAUCCAGCCGGCUAAUACCUGGUUGGGAUGACGGUACCCAAAGAAUAAGCACCGGCUAACUUCGUGCCAGCAGCCGCGGUAAUAC